rnacentral:rRNA from 1 species
CUCGGAUCAGGUAGGGAUACCCGCUGAACUUAAGCAUAUCAAUAAGCGGAGGAAAAGAAACCAACCGGGAUUGCCUCAGUAACGGCGAGUGAAGCGGCAAGAGCUCAAAUUUGAAAGCUGGCUCCUUCGGGGUCCGCAUUGUAAUUUGCAGAGGAUGCUUCGGGUGCGGCCCCUGUCUAAGUGCCCUGGAACGGGCCGUCAGAGAGGGUGAGAAUCCCGUCUGGGAUGGGGUGUCCGCGCCCGUG